UAUAUCAUACCCUUGUUGGUAGCGACCAUA
rnacentral:piRNA from 1 species